CAGGGAAUAUUGCACAAUGGGCGAAAGCCUGAUGCAGCGACGCCGCGUGGGGGAUGAAGGCCCUAGGGUCGUAAACCCCUUUCAGUGGGGACGAAACUGACGGUACCCACAGAAGAAGGUCCGGCCAACUACGUGCCAGCAGCCGCGGUAAGACGUAGGGACCAAGCGUUGUCCGGAUUUAUUGGGCGUAAAGAGCUCGUAGGCGGUUGCGUAAGUCGGAUGUGAAAACUUGAGGCUCAACCUCGAGAUGCCAUCCGAUACUGCGCUGACUUGAAUCCAGUAGGGGAGUGUGGAAUUUGUUGUGUAGCGGUGAAAUGCGCAGAUAUAACAAGGAACACCUAUGGCGAAGGCAGCACUCUGGGCUGGUAUUGACGCUGAGGAGCGAAAGCAUGGGUAGCAAACAGGAUUAGAUACCCCCGUAGUCC
rnacentral:rRNA from 1 species